ensembl:lncRNA
GGAUACCGACCGUUAGUUUUGGCGAAAGACAAACUAUCCACUGCCAGUACACCUCUGGCUGUUCAAUGGCAUCACGAAUUGAGCGUCUCGCCCGGCCUAAUCCCAACCUACUUAAAUUCCCUGACAGUAUGGUAUGGGAGUGAGAACUAUAGCUAAAGCCAGUCCUCGGAUCUGCCAGUUGGCUCAACCAAAAAAGUCAAGAAUGCCAUUGACUCCAGCAUUCAACAGCACUAAUAGCUGUUUGACACUUCUCCCACAAGCCAAGCCUUCUUCUCAUAUACACCUCCUGGCCAUUCCUAAAAAGGAGCAUCCUCAUUAUCGUCCAAACCAACCUGUGUCAUCGCACGUGCCAAGGUCCGUCCUGGAAGCUGUAGCCAGUGAGAGGCUGCAGGUGCUGGCCAUACCAAAGCCCCGCAAUCCUCUUUAUGAGGGAUUCGAUCCCUAUAAAGUGAGCUUGGCUGCUCGUGUUGCUACUGCAUCCCCAAGAAUACAGGAACUGUCACAACCCCCGGCACGCAGGUGCAGGAAAACAUCAGCCCAAGAUGAAUAAAGCAUAAACAUGUGUGAAAUAUCUAUGCAAUAAAUGUAUUAGCCGACAUUAGUUCUCUCUGUCAUGUUAAUCAAUGUCAAAGCAGUUAUUAUUAAAAGAAC